ACAAAUAUUCAGAAAACACUGUUGUCGAAUAUCAUUGUUAUCAAAAAGUUUACCUAAUAACAUGGUAAUAAUAAAGCUGACAAAAUGUUGUUCCGGACGGAACGCGGAAACUUAAUAUGUAAUAUUGUAUUAUAUUUUUUAGUACCCGAAAUACUGUCAUUUAGUGUCAUUAGCCUAACGUUGUAAUUUUUAACGGACAGUUUCGAAAAGUUUG